rnacentral:lncRNA from 10 species
GUUUCAUUUCCUUGUCUCUUUGUAUUGCCUAAGACCUUCGGUACAAUGAAGGUUAGAAAUAAUAAUGGGCAUCUCUGCUGCAUUUCUGACUUUAAAAGAAUAGAUUCUAAGGCUCACAAUUAACAGUGCAUACCUCCUGGGAACAUGUUACCAAAAGUUAGAAGGCCAAAUUCCCUCAGCCUCUAUCCAGCAUCACAAAUAACUUCAAUGAGAACCAUAGGAACAUCGAGUGUCCUGUGAAUCUGAGAACUGCAAUGGGCCCUAGGGGCUCUUCCAUCCAGGCUUAUCAUGAUUCAGGAGAAGAAAUUGAGGACCGAAGACAUCAAAUAUAAUAAGCUAAUGGAGGAACUGAGGCUACUUGCCUGGCUCCAGUGCUCUUUCCUUUGCCUCAAAAUCUUUACAGGUCAGCCAUCUAUCAUGUGUAGAAUAAGCAAACUGAAUUAACAUUGGAAAUAUUAAAAGAACAGAGGUUGCGUGGAUAUUGGUUGGAACAGAGAAGAAGUUUUCACAAGGAAUUAAAGUAACACCAGCUGCUCACUGCUCUGACUUAAACCAUACAGCAACUCCAGAAACAUGGGGGGUGUUGUUGAGUGGCAAGCUUUGCAUAUGCUGCUCUGCUUCCCCAUCUAGACCAUGAGCAUCUCAAAGGCAGAAACAACAUUUAAUUCAUCUUUGCAUCCCAACAGCCUAACCCUGAGUCUGGCAUUUAGUGGACACUUAAUGAAUGUUUGCUGAAUCGAAUUGAAUGUGCAUGGAAACUCUGGGAAAAAUCCUCCAGAAUCCUUCAGAUGGUGAAUGUGCAGUGAAGAGGUGGAAUGAGGCAAUUCCCUCAAAUUACAAAUUCACCUAUUUUGUUAAGAAAACAUUAAGAUGGAUAUCUUUUAUUUUUCUGUGUGAAAAUAAAGAAAAAAGAAUGCUGAA